GUCCCUUCGGGGACAUCCGAUAAAAUUGGAACGAUACAGAGAAGAUUAGCAUGGCCCCUGCGCAAGGAUGACACCGCACAAAUCGAGAAAUAAAUUUAAAUUUU